AUUGAACGCUGGCGGCAGGCCUAACACAUGCAAGUCGAGCGGAGCGGCGGACGGGUGAGUAAUGCCUAGGAAUCUGCCUGGGAGUGGGGGAUAACGUCCGGAAACGGGCGCUAAUACCGCAUACUAUCAGAUGAGCCUGGGUCGGAUUAGCUAGUUGUUGGGGUAAUGGCCUACCAGGGCGACGAUCCGUAACUGGUCUGAGAGGAUGAUCAGUCACACUGGAACUGAGACACGGUCCAGACUCUUACGGGAGGCCUCAGUGGGGAAUACUGUGCAAGGGGCGAAAGUCUGAUCCAGCCUGGCGGCGUGGGUUAAGAAGGAAUUCGUUUUGUAAAGCUCUUUGAGUUGGGAGGCGUUACAAUUAGAUUAAGCCCCGGCUAACUUCGUGCCAGCAGCCGCGGUAAUAC
rnacentral:rRNA from 1 species